rnacentral:rRNA from 1 species
AGUGAACGCUGGCGGUAGGCCUAACACAUGCAAGUCGAACGGCAGCACAGUAAGAGCUUGCCCUUACGGGUGGCGAGUGGCGGACGGGUGAGGAAUACAUCGGAAUCUACUUUUUCGUGGGGGAUAACGUAGGGAAACUUACGCUAAUACCGCAUACGACCUACGGGUGAAAGCAGGGGAUCUUCGGACCUUGCGCGAUUGAAUGAGCCGAUGUCGGAUUAGCUAGUUGGCGGGGUAAAGGCCCACCAAGGCGACGAUCCGUAGCUGGUCUGAGAGGAUGAUCAGCCACACUGGAACUGAGGCACGGUCCAGACUCCUACGGGAGGCAGCAGUGGGGUAUAUUGGACAAUGGGCGCAAGCCUGAUCCAGCCAUACCGCGUGGGUGAAGAAGGCCUUCGGGUUGUAAAGCCCUUUUGUUGGGAAAGAAAAGCAGCAGGUUAAUACCCCGCUGUUCUGACGGUACCCAAAGAAUAAGCACCGGCUAACUUCGUG